rnacentral:misc_RNA from 1 species
UGUGGGAGCGGGCUUGCCCGCGAUGAGGGACUUAUAUCCGACAUCAUUGUUGGCUGGAGGUCCGCUAUCGCGGGCAAGCCCGCUCCCACA